rnacentral:misc_RNA from 1 species
UGGUUCUAGCAUCGAUGAAGAACGCAGCGAAAUGCGAUAAGUAAUGUGAAUUGCAGAAUUCAGUGAAUCAUCGAAUCUUUGAACGCACAUUGCGCUCCCUGGUAUUCCGGGGAGCAUGCCUGUUCGAGCGUCAUUAUCAACCCUCAAGCUAUGCUUGGUAUUGGGAUGUAUCCCCAGUGGAUACCCCCUAAUUAUUUCGGCGACGGUGUUGAACCAUAAGCGUAGUAAAUUCUUUAGCUUAUCUCGGUCCAUCCCCGCUCCGCCUGGCUCUUUUACCCUAAGGUUGACCUCGGAUCAGGUAGGGAUACCCGCUGA